UACGAAGGGGGCUAGCGUUGCUCGGAAUCACUGGGCGUAAAGCGCACGUCGGCGGAUUGUUAAGUCAGGGGUGAAAUCCUGGAGCUCAACUCCAGAACUGCCUUUGAUACUGGCGAUCUCGAGUCCGGGAGAGGUGAGUGGAACUGCGAGUGUAGAGGUGAAAUUCGUAGAUAUUCGCAAGAACACCAGUGGCGAAGGCGGCUCACUGGCCCGGUACUGACGCUGAGGUGCGAAAGCGUGGGGAGCAAACAGG
rnacentral:rRNA from 1 species